rnacentral:rRNA from 1 species
GAUGAACGCUAGCGGGAGGCUUAAUACAUGCAAGUCGAGCGGCAAGUUUUGAUAGCAAUAUUGGAACCUAGAGCGGCGCACGGGUGAGUAACGCGUACAUGACCUGCCCUAUACUGGGGUAUAGCUUCGGGAAACUGAUGGUAAUCCCCCAUGACAUUGCGGAAUCGCAUGGUUCUGCAAUUAAAGUUCAGGCGGUAUAAGAUUGGUGUGCGUUUGAUUAGGUAGUUGGUAGGGUAACGGCCUACCAAGCCGACGAUCAAUAGCUGGCGUGAGAGCGCGACCAGCCACACUGGAACUGAGACACGGUCCAGACUCCUACGGGAGGCAGCAGUAGGGAAUAUUGGACAAUGGGCGAAAGCCUGAUCCAGCCAUCCCGCGUGGUAGAUGAAGGCCUCUGGGUUGUAAUACCUUUGCAAGGAAGAACUCUCCGAUUCAUCGGAGCCUGACGGUACCUUGCGAAUAAGCACCGGCUAACUCCGUGCCAG